CAAGUGAACCUGCGGAUAUCUAUUCUUUACGGGUUUUUUUGUUUGCGGCGCUAAUAGUCAGGCAUAUAUAUACGUAUAUAGAGAGAAAAAGAGAAAUACAGCGAGCUGCAGAGUUCUUUAAAGUUUCAAUAUUUCGUUCUGCAAACACUGCUUAUCAAAUCCUUUUAUCAUGAUAAAAGUUCAUAUUUUUUCGGCUAUAGUUUUGAUUUUUUGUUUUGUUCUUGUGGGUGCUCAGAAACCCCCAAGAUUAUAUGCAAAAUCGAAAUGCGAAAAGAGACUAAAAAACGAGACAUUGUUGGAGAAAUGUAAAAUAUGUGUAGAAGAAUAUACGCUUCCAGAGUUCCCUUCUAAAGAACAAGUAAG